rnacentral:rRNA from 1 species
GGAGCUUGCGGCUUAAUUUGACUCAACACGGGAAAACUCACCCGGACCGGACACUAUGAGGAUAGACAGAUUGAUAGCUCUUUCUUGAUUUGGUGAUUAGUGGUGCAUGGCCGUUCUUAGUUCGUGGUAUGAAUUGUCUGGUUAAUUCCGAUAACGAACGAGAUUCUAACCUGCUAAAUAGUCCGUGUGUAAUCCUGUGUAGUUUGGGCGGACUGAUUCGUUGGUUCGCACUGCUAUACGAGCAUACGGUACUUCUUAGAGGGAUUGGUGGAUAACAAAACCACAAUAGAGAGAGCAAUAACAGGUCUGUGAUGCCCUUAGAUGUUCGGGGCCGCACGCGUGCUACACUGACAGUGGUAGAGAGUUUGGUAUCCUCAGGCGAAAGCUGGGGGCAAACUUUUCAAUUACUGUCGUGCCUGGGAUCGGGGUUUGUAACUAUCCCCCGUGAACCAGGAAUUCCUAGUAAGCACAGCUCAUCAGGC